rnacentral:rRNA from 1 species
GUAUGAAAGUACGUUUCACCUUCGGAGACAGGGAAACAGGUGGUGCAUGGUUGUCGUCAGCUCGUGUCGUGAGAUGUUGGGUUAAGUCCCGCAACGAGCGCAACCCCUACGUUUAGUUGCUAACGCGUGAAGGCGAGCACUCUAGACGAACUGCCGUUGACAAAACGGAGGAAGGUGGGGAUGACGUCAAAUCAUCAUGCCCCUUAUGUUCUGGGCUACACACGUGCUACAAUGGCCGGUACAGACGGACGCAAAGCCGCGAGGUGGAGCAAAUCCUAGAAAGCCGGUCUCAGUUCGGAUUGCAGGCUGCAAUUCGCCUGCAUGAAGUCGGAAUCGCUAGUAAUCGCAGGUCAGCAUACUGCGGUGAAUACGUUCCCGGGCCUU